rnacentral:rRNA from 1 species
GACGAACGCUGGCGGCGUGCCUAAUACAUGCAAGUCGAACGCAGUGGGGACGGGUGAGUAACACGUGGGUAACCUCCCAUCAGAGGGGAUAACACUUGGAAACAGGUGCUAAACCGAUACUGAUGGAUGAACCCGCGGUGCAUUAGCUAGUUGGUGAGGUAACGGCUCACCAAGGCCACGAUGCAUAGCGGACCGGAGGGGUGGAUCGGCAAAACUGUGACUGGAACACGGCCAAGACUCGUACGGGAGGAAGAAGUAGGGAAGCUUCGGCAAUGGACGAAAGUCUGACCGAGCAACGCCGCGGGAGUGAAGAAGGUUUUCGGAUCGUAAAACUCUGUUGUUAGAGAAGCGGUAUCUAACCAGAAAGCCACGGCUAACUACGUGCCAGCAGCCGCGGUAAUUC